rnacentral:rRNA from 1 species
CCUACGGGAGGCAGCAGUGAGGAAUAUUGGUCAAUGGUCGGGAGACUGAACCAGCCAAGCCGCGUGAGGGAUGAAGGUACAGAGUAUCGUAAACCUCUUUUGUCAGGGAACAAAUGCGGGGACGUGUCCCCUGAUGAGUGUACCUGAAGAAAAAGCAUCGGCUAACUCCGUUCCAGCAGCCGCGGUAAUACGGAGGAUGCGAGCGUUAUCCGGAUUUAUUGGGUUUAAAGGGUGCGCAGGCUGUCUGUUAAGUCAGCGGUGAAAGCCCGUGGACCAACCCCGGCCCGCCGUUGAGACUAGCAGUCUAGAGUUGGAGAGAGGUAUGCGGAAUGCGAGGUGUAGCGGUGAAAUGCAUAGAUAUCGCGCAGAACUCCGAUUGCGAAGGCAGCAUGCCGGCUCCACACUGACGCUGAGGCACGAAAGCGUGGGUAUCGAACAGGAUUAGAUACCCCUGUAGUC